GCCUACGGGAGGCAGCAGUGGGGAAUCUUGGACAAUGGGCGCAAGCCUGAUCCAGCCAUGCCGCGUGAGUGAUGAAGGCCUUAGGGUCGUAAAGCUCUUUCGCCAGGGAUGAUAAUGACAGUACCUGGUAAAGAAACCCCGGCUAACUCCGUGCCAGCAGCCGCGGUAAUACGGAGGGGGUUAGCGUUGUUCGGAAUUACUGGGCGUAAAGCGCGCGUAGGCGGGUUGCUAAGUUAGAGGUGAAAUCCCGGGGCUCAACCCCGGAACUGCCUUUAAUACUGGCAACCUAGAGUUCGAGAGAGGUGAGUGGAAUUCCGAGUGUAGAGGUGAAAUUCGUAGAUAUUCGGAGGAACACCAGUGGCGAAGGCGGCUCACUGGCUCGAUACUGACGCUGAGGUGCGAAAGUGUGGGGAGCAAACAGGAUUAGAUACCCUGGUAGUCCACACCGUAAACGAUGAAUGCCAGUCGUCGGGUAGCAUGCUAUUCGGUGACACACCUAACGGAUUAAGCAUUCCGCCUGGGGAGUACGGUCGCAAGAUUAAAACUCAAAUGAAUUGACGG
rnacentral:rRNA from 1 species